rnacentral:rRNA from 1 species
GACGUAGGGCGCGAGCGUUGUCCGGAUUUAUUGGGCGUAAAGAGCUCGUAGGCGGCUUGUCGCGUCGUCUGUGAAAUCCCGCGGCUCAACUGCGGGCUGGCAGUCGAUACGGGCAGGCUGGAGUUCGGUAGGGGAGACUGGAAUUCCUGGUGUAGCGGUGAAAUGCGCAGAUAUCAGGAGGAACACCGGUGGCGAAGGCGGGUCUCUGGGCCGAUACUGACGCUGAUGCGCGAAAGCCAGGGGAGCGAACGGG